GUGGGGAAUAUUGGACAAUGGGCGAAAGCCUGAUCCAGCCAUGCUGCGUGUGUGAAGAAGGUCUUCGGAUUGUAAAGCACUUUAAGUUGGGAGGAAGGGCAGUAAGUUAAUACCUUGCUGUUUUGACGUUACCGACAGAAUAAGCACCGGCUAACUUCGUGCCAGCAGCCGCGGUAAUACGAAGGGUGCAAGCGUUAAUCGGAAUUACUGGGCGUAAAGCGCGCGUAGGUGGUUUUGUAAGUUGGAGGUGAAAUCCCCGGGCUCAACCUGGGAGCUGCCUCCGAAACUGCAUGACUAGAGUACGGUAGAGGGUAGGGGAAUUUCCUGUGUAGCGGUGAAAUGCGUAGAUAUAGGAAGGAACACCAGUGGCGAGGGCGACUACCUGGACUGAUACUGACACUGAGGUGCGAAAGCGUGGGGAGCAAACAGAAUUAGAUAGCCUGGUAGUCC
rnacentral:rRNA from 1 species